GACGAACGCUGGCGGCGUGCUUAACACAUGCAAGUCGAACGGUGAAGCGCCUUCCUUUUUGGUGGGUGUGGAUGAGUGGCGAACGGGUGAGUAACACGUGAGUAACCUGCCCCCUUCUUCUGGAUAACCGCAUGAAAGUGUGGCUAAUACGGGAUAUUCUGGUUCGGUCGCAUGAUGGGUCUGGGAAAGAUAUUGUUUCGGUGGGGGAUGGGCUCGCGUCCUAUCAGCUUGUUGGUGGGGUGAUGGCCUACCAAGGCGGUGACGGAUAGCCGGCCUGGGAGGGUGGACGGCCACACUGGGAAUGAGACACGCCCCAGACUCCGACGAGAGGCAGCAUGGGAGAAUAUUGCACAGUGGGCGCAAUCCUGAUGCAGCGACGACGCGUGAGAGAUGGAGUCCUUCGGGUUGUGAACCUCUUUCGCCAGUGAAGCAGGCCUGCCUCGUUUGUGGGUGGGUUGACGGUAGCUGGAUAAGAAGCGCCGGCUAACUACGUG
rnacentral:rRNA from 1 species